rnacentral:lncRNA from 1 species
UUUUUUUUUUGGUAAAUAGAUUAAAACACUUUACAUUAAGCUAGAAAGAGUCAAAAGAAUAAGCCAUAUAUAACUGUAAGCCUUCCUCUCUGUCAAAUGCCUACUUGGCAAUCUGAUUAGAUUCAACAUUUUCUUUUCUAGGGAUAUGUACAAUUGACCAAUUCUCCACAUUUUGCAAAAGCUAAGUUAUGCGUCUGAUUAUUGCUGAAUUUAACCACUUCGACAAAGAUUCCUUGAUAGCCCCAAUAACUUCCAUGUUGUCUGUCUGUACCAAUAUCCUAUCAUGUUGUCUUCCUUGCACUAACGACACACUAUCAAGAAUGUCCUACAAUUCAGCUUCGAAUAUUGAACAUUUUCCUAAUCUACAAUUAAAUUCAAGGAUCCUAUUCCCAUCAUAAUCUCUCAAAACUCCUCCUGCAGUAGCGCAUCUUAUGUUUCAACCACUACUUUAAGAAUAACUUUAGCAUGAACAUCCAUUUAUUACUCUGCUAGAUUAACUUUUUUUCACAUUAAUCUCUCUUCGACACUACUUAUCUAAAUGACUAAAGGUACCACAACCAGUGCUUUUUAGAGGUAACCAAAUAACUUCAAUUAAAACCCCCUUUUCCAAUUUAACCAUAUUGGAUACCACUUGUUGGAAACGUAAUAAAAAUAGCUCAAAUAUUAAUUUUUUUUUAUUUCACACAAAUAAUACACAAUACAAAUAUCCUUUUUUUCCUCUCUCUAUACUAAGCUACUGCUAGUUUACAACUCUUACUCCUUUUCUUUCUUUUUUCUCAACACUCACUUUUUCUUUUUUGUUUUUUCUCUCAACAUUUAGUCACUUUUUCAGUUGCUACUAUACUAAGGGCCAGUUCUGCAUUGCUUUUCAAAAGCAGUUCUGGCUCCAAAAGCACUUUUGAAAGAAAAGCUGUGCAGAACAAACUGCUUUUGGCUGAAAUUUUAGCUUUUCAGAAGUGCUUUUCAAAAGCACUUCUGAAACGGAGAAGUUAAAAUUUUUAGUUUUUCCUCUCCCAAAAGCACUUUUAGUGCUUAAUUACUUUUUCACCCCUUCAAUAAUAGAGUACUUCUCUUUUUUUUCUUGGUACUUAAUUACAAAUGUGUUAAAAUCAUUAAUUAAAAAUAAAAAAAUAUUUUUUAAAAUACUAAUUACAAAUAUUUAAUAGUUAUAUUUAAAUAUUUAAAAUAUAGUUUAUAUACUCUAAUUAAAUUUUAUAAAUAAUUAAUAUUUAUUGCUUAAAAAUAUUUAAAAUUUAUAUUUUAUAUAUUAAAAUAUUAACAAGAAAUUAUAAUAUAUAUUUUUAUAUUCUUACUAAAAUAUAGUAAUAUUAACUAAUUUAAAUAUUAUUUAAAUGUAUAUUUGUUACUUGAUAAUAACAUGUCUAAAAUGAACAUUUUAUUUCUCAAAAGUGCUUUUUGACAGCAAUGCUAAACACUCAAAUUUUAAACCAAAAUUUUCAAAAGCACUUCUUAAAAGUAUUUUUCCACAACACUUCUCAAAAGUACUUUUCAAAAGCAUUGUCAAACUAGCCCUAACUCAUAAAUCAUAUUUAUAGACUUACUUAAACCGACUUAAAUGUUGCCGCCGCAGCUCAUUCUUAUCCCUUAACUUUGAUGAAAUCCAGCUGUUAAUUAUCCAUUAUUAUGGAUAAUGCUCCAAGUCAUUCCUAGCCAAUUCAUCAUAUUUAAUUCUAAGUAAUUGUUAACAAAUUUGCACGUUAAGCCAAGUUGCAGACCAGUUCUUUUGACAGCUUGCCACCACCUUGUCAGCAUGCUUAGCUGACUUUAAAAGUCGGUUUGAUUUCUAACAAGUACCGCCAACUGCAUCAUCUCCAAUUUGUGGCAUUCUGUUGAUCAAUUGAUCUUUGAAUCCUCCAUUAAUCUUUGAAUAACACCCAAGAACAACAAAUCAUAACAAGAAAAAGAAAGUGAUCAAAAAGGGAAAACAUGAUAAAAGAAUCAAAGGAAAAGAAAAGAAAAUCUAAAAUUAUCUGGGCGUAUGAUAAACUCAGGUAACAUGCACAUCUUCAAAUUUUUCCAUAUUUAAUAAGAAUUUAGGUAGUGAAAUUGUAAACAAUUUCCAUCACGUAAUGAUACUCUUUGAAUCACAAGCAAAUGAGUCAUUGGUAAGAGCAAGACUAAUUUAAAUAGCAACAGUACAAUAUUUGUUUAUUAAUAUCAAAAAAUAAAGAUGCACAAAUGCUUUGAUUCCCAUGGUGAAGCCGAUAACACUUUAGAUAUCUUCGAUUUUCUUUCUCCAGAAUAGCGUAAUGCUGUACGUAUAGUCAACUUCUCUAGAGCUCUACCAUUCUUUAGGAAAUACUUUGCCUUCCCAAUACAAUCUCUUUCAUCUGUAAAGUCUGAAAUUUUUAUGGACUUGAGUUUAGACAACAAGCAAGAAGGAGCUUUCUCAGGCAGAGAGAUGAGAGCUUCCUAAAAUCAACAACAUAAAAAUGGAGUCAGUAAGACUUUUCAACUUGAAAUCAAAUGAAGCUUAAACUUAGAACAAUCAAUACCUGAUUAAACUCAAGUUUUUCUAGUUCAGGCAAACUUGAGAGUAAAGUUUCAAGUCCCUUUUCCCAUUGAUCAUAGUAUGGGCGUAGAUCAUUAGAACAGUGUAUCUUCAAUUUGACCAAGUUAGGAAAAACAGGAACCGGUGCACAGCUUAAAAGAAGCUAUGGCAGUCACAAAAUUUGCACUGUGUUAGUAGACUGUAAAGUAUCUAAAAAUCUAGACAAGGCAACAAGCAAUAAGUUUUGUACUAGAAAUAAGGUGAAAGAAUAUGUGAAGAGACAAACCUCGAGAGAAGUAUCCGACAGAAUAAGUGAACGAACAUUACAGAUCCCUCUAAAAAAAGUAGAUCCAUCAACUUGAAGACUGUUGGAUAUAUCGAUAUCAGCUUUGACAAGAGAUUGCAAAUUCUGCAGUGAAUACCCUGCUACUAAUUCGUCGUCGUACUCCAGGUAGACUAGAUUUGGGGCAUCGAUCGUUAUCCAACCAUAGUCACUUUGAUAGGUGUAAAGUAGAGUCAAUCUCUUGAGAAAAGGAUGUGAAAUAUUGAAGUUGCUUAUAUUGCUCAUGAGAAAUUUCUCUAUCACCAAAUCUUCAAGACUGGUGCAGCCGGAUAAUAGACUUUUAACUGAAUCAUCAUUCGAAAAAUUAACUUCCUCAAGAUGAAUAGUCUUUAGAUUCGGGAAGUGAGCACCCUUGGGAACAUCCAAAACAAAAUCAAACUCCAUACACAGUUUCAAAGUAACCAAUGUCCUGCAAGUAAAUAGAACAGCCGGCCGAGUAGUGAACUUGCCUGGGGAGAUGUUUAAAUCAAGAUGUUUAACCCCACGAUGAACUGCAGCAGAUAUCCACGCGUGAAAACGGUCAGGAUCAAUCAUUGUUCGACAUUUGAGACGAAAUUUAUCGAUAUUUGUCAUAUUAUGAGUAAUCAGCAUUUUGUCCACAAGGCUUGCGUAGCUAUAGAUGUCAAUAUGCCUGUAACUUGUAUAACCCCGGCGCCACAAAUCGCCUUCGAAAUCAAAGUGGAGAUUAGGAAGUAAAGCAAAAAGAUAUCUCCAUCGGGUAGAUAAAAUAGAGGUCCUAAUGACUUGUUUUGCAGAAAGGAAUGACAGAAUGUGAAUUAAAAUUGAAUCAUGUAAACCACUAAUCCUGUCUACAUUCUCCAUUUUCACUUGCUUAGCCAUUCCAAGUUGAAUAAGAAAUAAUUCUGUCUACAAAAAAGAGACGGUAGAAACAGAAAAAAGAUAAAAGCCUAACAUUAGGGUUUUCUUUUUAUAGACUAUUUUGAUUAGGUUGAAUGUACGGUGCAUUGAGUUUUAGUAUGUAGUUUUAAUUAUUAAAUUUUAUAUAAAUUUAUUGGUUGAGUAUUAGUUCGUUUGGUAUGGGGUUGCCAAUACAAGAAAAUUUAGUUUUGAGCAUACUUAAAUGUAUUAUCUUUUUAUUAAGUUAAGAUUUUAUAAGUUAUUCAAAACUUUUGUAACAAUUCAUAUAAAUAAUAUAAUUUUUUAUCAUAUUAUAAAUAAGUUAUGAUUAACAAAACUAUAACAUUUUUUAUUGAAUAAAUAUAUUGUUUUAUAAUAUAUAACAUGAACAUAUAAAUAAGUUUUGCUCAUACUUCUUGCCUAUAACUUUUUUAUAAAUAAAUAUAUUGUAACACUUUUAUAACAUGUAAAUUAGUUUUUAUAAUAAACUUUUUUACCAUAAAGUUAGAUUUUUUUAAGAUUUAAAUAAUAUAAUUUUUAUAAUAUAAGAAUUUUUUUACUAUAAUCAUCCAAACACUCAUAUAUAUUCAUGCUUAUAAUAUAAUUUUUAUAAUUUGUAUAAAAAUAACUUUUUAAAAGUAGAUUUGGAUGUAAUUACCUGUGUAAUUACUUCAAUAUCUCAUCCUAUCUCUACACAAAUGGAAAUUAUAAUUGUGGUGUUCUAAUUGUACCCAAUUCGGCAAAACACGCUAAUUACAAUGAUUACCCAAAUAUGUCACUUUUAUAUAAUUACAAAUAAUUACAUUUAAAUCUAAUUAUUAAGUGACUUUCUAAAUACUAAAUUAAGUAUCGUAGAAUAUUAGUAGUGGAUGGGAAAUUGGUGACUAAUGUCAAUUAUUAUUUGUUUAUUAUUAUUAACCAAUGGAGAUUGUGGAAAGAUUUACUAAAAUUUUAUGAUUUUAUGGUUAAUUAUUAUUAACCGAUGUGACUAAUGAUGAUUAUAAAAAUAAAAUAUGUUCGCAUUAAUAAGGGUGGGUUUGUAUGGGCGAUACAUUUAUCUGUGAUUAGUGUAAAAAUAUCGGUGACGGUAAGAUUAGAUAUUGAAACGAUAUUAUAGUGUGAGGCAAAAAAUAAGUUAAACACACCACACCUCACCGCAUCGAAUUGCUCAUCCAAACCCACCUAAAUGUUGAGUAAAAUAAUAAAACAUAGUUUAAAUGUUAAAGAAACAUUAUUAGAAAAAAUAAAUAUCAGCAUAUAAAUCAUAAAACAAACAUAUAAUUAAUACUUAACCUAGUAAUUCUAUAUAUAGAGUUUGAGAUUGAAAGUGAGAGAUGAAGAUUAAUGAUGAUAUCCUCUAAAUUCAUGAAAAAAAUAGUAUAUCAAAAAUUCAGUUUGACCAAGAUAGCAAAAAUAGGAAAUGGUUCAAAACUUAAAAGAAGUUAUGACAGUCACAAAAAUUGCACUAUCAAUAGAUAUUGCAAAAAGCAACAACUUUUAUAUAUAGAAGAAAAAAAAGGCAAAAGAAACAACGCUGAAGAGAAGUAUGAGAGAAUAAGUGAAGGAACAUACAUUAGAGAUCCCUCUAAAAAGUGUUGUUGCAUCAGCUUGAAGAGUAAUGUAAUAUUGGAAUAUAUGGUCUGACAAGAAAUUGCAGAUUCUGCAGUGAAGACUUGGCUCCUCUUACUUGGUCGAGGUAUUUGAAAUAGGCUAGAUUUGUAUAAUCGAGCAACUGAUGUGAAAUACUUAAGUUGUUUUUAUUUUUAGUCUUUUAAGACCAUAUCUUCAAGACUAGAACAGUCGGAUAAGAAAUUUUCAACUGAACCAUCAUUCAAAAAUCCAACUGACUCGAGAUGAAGAGUGUUUAGAUUCGGAAGAUGGACAAACAAAAAUCUUUAUCCACUUUCAAACUCACUAAUGUCCUGCAAGUAAACAAAACAUCCGGUAAAGUGUCAAGGGAGAUGUUUAACCCUGCGAUGAAUUGCAGCAGUUAUCCACCCGUAAAAAUGGUUAGCAUCAACCCUUACCUGGAAUUUGAGAUGAAGUUUUGUUAAUGUUGGCCAGUAUGUGGCACAAGGAUCAGCCAAAGAAUAGGCCAUGCAGCUCGAGCCAAGCAGAUGCAAUUGAAGAAGCUGUUCCAUUUUAGUUCAUUUUCUUACUUUAAGUUGUUGUUAUGUAAUUUAGUUUGUUUUCAACCUAGUUGCUGAUGUAUUUGAUGUAGUUAGGUAGUAUUGAACUGAUAAAUCAGUUUGUCAAAGUGUACAAGCAAUGAUUAACAAGUUUCAAUGUUGUUUAGAAGUAGUAAGUGAUUGUUUAGGUGAAACUUGUUCAUUUUGACCAGUUUAUGUCUGGUAUAAAUAUUGGCAUUAUGCCAACUUCAAUGGUUAAUGAAAAUAUCAGCUUUUCAUUCAAAAAUACUCUCUUUUCUUUUUUUUAUUAAGCAAAUUCAGUUGUUUGCUUCACAAGUCUCAAGCCUUGUUGCUCAAGCUUCUGUUGACCUUGCUACUUCAUCUGGAUUUAUUGUUCAAAACUCUAAGAAUUGGUAUCUAGAGCUGUAAUCUCAGUGGACCUGUUACAUUCUAAUUUCAAAAUCGAUGGCUUCAUUAGGCUUCUCACCAGCUGCACCACUAGUCUUCAAUGGAGAGGGCUAUCACAUAUGGGUGGUCAAAAUGAAGACCUACCUUUAGGCAUUGAACCUAUGGGAGGUGGUCAACUCAGAUGCUAAACCAACACCACUUAAAGCCAAUCCAACAGUGGCUCAGAUCAAGCAGCAUGCUGAUGAAAGGACAAAGAGACACAAAGCCAUGUGUUGCAUCCAAAAUUGUAUGUCAGAUGUAAUCUUUACAAGGAUCAUGGCCUGUGACGGAUUGAAGGAAGAGUUUCAAGGGACAGAGAGGAUAAGGCAACAACAACUACUGAAUUUGAGUAGGGAUUUCGAGAACUUGAAGAUGAAUGAGGAAGAAAUUGUUAAGUAGUAUUCAGAUAGGAUUAUGGCUAUGGUAAACAGCAUAAGGCUCCUUGGAGAAUAGUUCAGUGAAGUAAAGAUAGUGGAGAAAGUGAUCUCAACCUUAUCUGAGAGGUAUGAGGCAAAAAUAUCUUCUUUCGAAGACUUAAGGGACCUGACCAGCAUCUCAUUGACAGAACUGAUCAAUGCUCUCUAUGCACAAGAGCAAAAAAGAGCUAGCAGACUGGAGGAGCACCAAGAAGGUGCCUUCAAAGCCAAAACCAAACCUGCCUCGAGCACCUCUGCCUGCAAAAACAAAAAGACUUAGAGAGAUAAACCAAAGUCAGAUGCUGCAAGAAGAAGGGAUCAACCCUAUAGACAUUGCAAAAUGCCUGGUCAUCCAGAAGCCAAUUGCUAGUUUAGGCCAAAUGUACAGUGCCAAUACUGUAAAAAGAUGGGGCAUGUUGAAAGGGUAUACAAAAACAAGGCAAAACCAAGGCAGAAUCAACCCCAGCAGUCAAAGGUUGAGGCUAGAGUAGCAAAAGAAGACAGUGAACAUGAGGAGCAAGUUUUUGCUGUGUCAUGCUCAGCUGCUCAGAAGAAGGUCACAAAUGGAUGGCUUUUAGAUAGUGGUUGCACCAACCAUAUAACACCAGAUGCUGCCAUCUUCAAGUCAUUAGAAAAAAGCUAUAAAACCAUGGUAAAGGUUGGUAAUGGCCACUUUAUCAAGGUAGAAGGUAAAGGAGAUGUGUUGAUAUGCACUCCUACAGGUAACGAGCUCAUUUCAAAUGUGUUGCUAGUACCUGAGAUUGACAGAAAUCUUCUUAGCAUAGCUCAACUGCUAUAGAAAGGCUAUUCUAUUGUGUUCAAGGGCAAGGAGUGCCAAAUCAGUGAUUCAAGUGGACCCAGGCUCAUGUCAGUAGCAAUGAUUGAUAAAAACUUUGUUGUGAACUAGAACAAGGGUCUACACACUGCCUACACAGCCUCACCAGAUGAAUCUAAGCUUUGGCACCAAAGGCUUGGUCAUGCCAACUACAGAUCAAUGGAUCAACUAACCAAGGAGGAUCUGGUUGAGAACUUCAUCAACUCAAUUGAGAAGGAGGAUGUUUGUGAGGUAUGUCAGCUAGGAAAAUAGACCAGGCUACCAUUUCCCUCAAACAAGGCCUAGAGAGCCUCAGAAAGGCUGCAGCUUGUGCAUACUGAUGUGUGUGGCCCCAUGAAAACUGAGUUACUAAAUGGAAGCAAGUAUUUCAUUCUAUUUAUUGAUGAUCACUCAAGAUUUUGCUGGAUUUACUUCAUGAAGCACAAAUCAAAAGUGGCCUCAGUGUUUUGGAAGUUCAAGGCUGCUGCAGAGACUGAAACAGGCUGCAAGCUCAAGACCUUGAGGUCUGAUAAUGGAACCGAGUAUACCUCAACUCAGUUUCAAGCCUUUUGUGAUGAAGCAGGCAUCAAAAACUAGCUCACCAACACCUAUAAACCUCAACAGAAUGGUGUUAGUGAAAGAAAGAAUAGAAGCUUGAUGGAUAUAGCCAGAUGCUUGAUGUUUGAGAAGGAUUUGCCCAAAACCUUGUGGGCUGAGGCAGUUAACACUGCUAUGUACAUCCAAAAUAGGCUUCAACCAAGGCUUUGGAUCACAAAACUCCAUUUGAGGCCUGGUUUAGGUUCAAACCAUCACUAGCUCACCUGAAGGUCUUUGGUUGCAUAUGCUAUGCACAUGUUCCAGUAGUGAAAAGGGAUAAGUUGGCCAAAAAAGCUCAACUUGGUGUUCUGGUAGGCUACAGCCCAAUAAAAAAAGGCUAUAGGAUCUUGGAUCCUUCAACAAACAAGGUUUUUGUGAGUAGAGAUGUGGUAUUUAAUGAGAAGUCAAGUUGGAACUAGGAGAAGAAUGAACCAGAGAUAGUUUUUGAAGAGCUUAUAGUAGAUCAGAAUGGUCCUGAAAUGGAUAUUGAUGAUGAACCAGUCAGGGGUACAAGACCAUUAGCUGAGAUUUAUAAAAGGGCUCAAAUGGCUGAGGUAGAACCAAGUUAUUUUGAGGAGGCUGAAACUCAGCAAGGCUGGAAACAGGCUAUGGCAGAUGAAAUCAACAUGAUUGAAAAGAACCAGACAUGGGAACUAGUUGAAAGACCUACAAAUAGAAAGAUCAUUGGGGUUAAAUGGGUCUAUCGAGCCAAGCACAAUGUUGAUGGAAGCUUAAACAAGCUUAAAGGUAGGCUAGUUGUAAAAAGAUUCAACCAAAAAUAUGGUGUGGACUAUCUAGAGACAUUUGCACCAGUGGCUAGGCUAGACACCAUUAGGCUACUAGUUGCAUUGGCUGUACAAAAGCAGUGGUUCACCAGUUUAAUGUUAAAUCAGCCUUCCUCAAUGGUUUUCUCGAAUAGGAAAUUUAUGUUGACCAGCCACAAGGUUUUGAAGUGACUGGUAAGGAAUACAAGGUAUAUAGGCUAAAAAAGGCCUUGUAUGGCUUAAAACAAGCAUCAAGGGCCUGGUAUAGCAGAAUUGAUGGUUAUUUGAUCAAUUUGGGGUUUGAAAGGAGCAUUAGUGAGGCAACAUUGUAUGUUAAGAAGGAAGGAGUGCAAACUCAGCUCAUUGUGUCCCUGUAUGUUGAUGACUUGCUAGUGACAAGAGGAGACCAAACAAUGCUAGUUGAUUUCAAAGCCAAAAUGCAACAGAUGUUUGAGAUGUCUAAUCUUGGAAGGAUAACUUAUUUUCUUGGCAUAGAGGUGUCACAAACUCAACAUGGAAUCUUUCUAAGUCAUAAGGCUUUUGCCUCCAAAAUCCUGACCAAAUUCUCUAUGCAAAACUGCAAAGCAACAAGCAUUCCAGUUGCCAUUGAAGAGAAACUAUCAAGCCAAUGUGACCUUGAAUAGGUUAGUGAAUCAGUCUACAGGAGCUUGGUUGGUUGUUUGCUAUACUUGACUGCCACUAGGCCAGAUAUUAUGUUUGCUGUGAGUUUGCUAUCAAGAUUCAUGCAUUGUUGCAAUAAGAAGCACUUUUAAGCUGCAAAGGGGGCUCAGGUACAUCAAAGGGACCCUGAAUUAUGGAAUGCUUAUAGCAAAUCUAAAAUUUUGAAAUUCGUUGGCUAUACUAAUGGUGACUGGGCUGGUUCGAAGGAUGACAUGAAAAGCACCUCAGGGAAUGUUUUCACCCUUGGUUCAACCAUUUUUUGCUGGAGUUUGAAGAAGAAAAAUGUAGUUACUCAGUCAACUGCUAAAGCAGAAUAUGUAGUAGCUGUUGGAGCUAUGAAUCAAGCUGUUUGGUUAAGAAAAAUCUUGGCUGAUCUGAAUCUACACCAAAAGGGAGCAACAGAGAUAAUGUGCGAUAAUCAAUCUACUGUUGCAAUUGCAAAGAAUCCAGUUUUCUAUGGAAGAACAAAGCAUUUCAACAUUAAGCUUCAUGUUGUUAGAGAAAUAGAGCAAGCACAAGAAGUGGAAUGAUUCAUUGCAGUUCUGAAGAGCAGCUAGCUGACAUUUUAAUAAAAGCCCUUAGUGUGUCAAGAUUCAUUAAAUUGAGAAGACAAAUGGGAGUUUGCAACAUGCUAGCCAAGGAGGAGUGUUGAAGUUGGCCAGCACGUGGCACAAUGAGUAGCCAAAGAACAGGCCAUGCAGCUACUUAAGUUUGCAAUUGAAGAAGCUGUUCCAUUUUAGUUCAUUUUGUUACUUUAAGUUGUUGUUAUGUAAUUUAGUUUGUUUUCAACUUAGUUGUGUAUGUAUUUGAUGUAGUUAGGUAGUAUUGAGCUGAUAAAUCAGCUUGUCAAUGUGUACAAGCAAUAUUUAAUAAGGUUCAAUGUUGUUUAGUGGUAGUAGGUGAUUGUUUAAGUGAAAUUUGUUCAUUUUGACCAGCUUAUGUCUGGUAUAUGUAUUGGCAUUAUGCCAACUUCAAUGGUUAAUGAAAAUAUCAACUUUUCAUUCAAAAAUACUCUCUCUUUUCUUUUUUUCUUAAGCAAAUUUAGUUGUUUGCUUCACAAGUCUUGCGCCUUAUUGCUCAAGCUUCUGUUGACCUUGCUACUUCAUCCGGAUUAAUUGUUCAAAACUCUAACAAGUUUGUUGUAUUAUAAAAACACAACAUUCUGUCGAGAUUAGAAACUAAAGCAAAAACAUAUCUCCAUCUAGUAGAUAAAAGAAAGGUUCUAACUGCUUCCUUUGUAGGAAGGAAUGAUUAGAAUUGAAUCAGGUAAGUCACUUUCUUACCCAUUCCAUUGCGACGUUUGAAAAAAGAAUAGUUCUUCUGUCUACAAGAAAGUGAAAGAAGAUGAACCCUAAUAUUAGGGUUUUUUUAUCUGCCUAUUUUGAUUAGGGUACUAACGUGGCGGAGCCAAGGGGCUGGCGGGUCCGACCCCUAAAAUGAUGAUUAUUUAAGUAAUUUAUUUUAAUUAAUUUUAAUCAUUUCAUAUUUUGGAUAAUUUUUUUGAUCUUUUUGCUAAGUGUUAGACUAUUAAUUUUGUUGAGUGUUUGUUUUUCUCUCCCUUUUCACCCGAGGGUUUAUUUUCGUAUUUAUAAGAUAUAGUCUGUUGAUGUGAUAUACUAGAAUCAUACAGGCCCUAUGCAUGUUAACACGUACCCUCUCCUAGGGUUAGCACGUAUCCUCCUAGUAUGAGUUCAGCUACAUGGUGGCGAAGUGUAUAGGCAAACCAUAAUGGCAAGCUACAUGAUAACGAAUUAUAUACCUAUUGAGGUAAGAAUAGAUGGGCUAGGUAACGGGUCGGUCUAGGAACUGAGUAAUGGCCAACACUAUAACUAAUCUCUCGGCUUCGCAUAGAAGGAAUAAUAAUUUUUUAAAGCUUCUCAAAAUUUUAGAUUUAAAGAUAAUUAGUUGAGAGUAAGCUACUGCAAAUGUUCAAGAACAUCAAAAUCUACUUUACCUUAAAAUAUGAAUUGUGUUUAGGUAUAUUCAAUUAAAAAAAAAGAUAUGAUGAUUUUAAAAAAAUCACUUUUAUAAUUUGAAAAAUAAAUAUUAAAUUAAAGUACAAUUUAUUGAAUGUAUCCAAAGUUUCUUAAAACAUAUGAUAAUUUUGUAUAUGCAUUUGGUAGAUGUAUAUGUUUUGAUAUGAGUGUACUCAAAGUAGUUUUUUAAUAAUAAAAUCAUGCACAUUUUUUAAACUUUAAAUUAUUGAUUCAGUCAUUAAUAUAAUUCGAUCUGUACCGUUAAAUCUAAGAAAAUUCAACUAUAAAUAGAAACAUUCCCCUCAUUUGUAAUCACUCAUGCCUUGCGUUUGCAGCUCACAUACCAUUUUUGUCCUUUUUCAUUUAAUGAAUUAAUACAAAAAGUUGUUAAUGGAAAUUCUAUAUAAAAUAUAAAAAUACAUAAUUGCAAAUAAAAAAUAUAUAAACAUAUGAUAAAACAUAUAAUUAUAUAAAUAAAAUAAUAAUAAAUAGAACAAGUAUAUUUAAUAUAUGAUUAAUUUUGAAACAUUAUAUAAAAUAAUAUAAAAAUAAUAUUUAAUAAUAAUAAAAGUACUACUAGACAUAAAUAUAAUCAUAAUAAUGUUUAAUUAUUUAUUAAUUUUAUAAAUGUUAAAUAAUUUAAAUUUUUUAUUGUAUACACGAUUUAAUCAAAUGUUCUUAAUCAUCAUUUUGUCAUUCAUGUUAGCUUGUUUAACCUUGGAUAAUAUCCCCCAAAUUCCUUUAAAAGCGAAGAAAUUCCUAUCAAGGGCCCUUGAGUAUCAGGUAUGUUUAGUGCUAACAAGAGGAAACAAAUCAAGUUGAGAUUGUAGUAGCAGAAAAUUCAAUGGAAAGGUUGGCCAUGUAAGUAGUUGAGUUGCAGAUACAAGAUGACUGAUAAAUACAAGGCAUAAUUAAAAUCCUAAAAAUCAGAAGCAAAAGAGUCCCAUGUAUAAAAAUUAUAAAUUUACAUCAAAUAAUCAAAAUGAAGCAUGGCUUUGAUUCCCUUGCUGAAGCAAACAAGGUUUUGGAUAUCCAUUUCUUUCCUACAGAAAUGUGUGAUGCUGUAACUAUUAUCAACUUCUCUAGAACUCCACCAUUCUUUAGGAUAUACUUGGCCUUUCCAAUACAAUACUUUUCAUCUGUAAAGUUUGUAAUUUUGAUGGUCUUGAGUUUAUGCAACAAACAAGAAGGCACUUCCUCUGGAAGAGAGCAGAGAACUUCCUAAAACCACAAAGGGAGUCAGUUCGAGCCUGCAACUUAAAUGGAAUUAAGCUUAAACUUAAAACAAUAUAUACCUGAUAAAACUCAAGUUUUUCAAGUGCAGGCAAACUUGAGAGUAAAGUUUCAAGUCCUUUAUGCAAUGGAUUAGAAUAUCGGAAUCGAAGAUGACAAGGUAAGUCCAGUCUGAUCAAGUUUGCAAAAACAGGAAGCGGUUCACAUCUUAAAAGAAGCUAUGAUGACAGUCACAAAAAUGGCACUGUGUCAAUACAUAUUGCAACAUGCAACAACUUUAAUAUAUAUAGGAGAAAAAAAAAAGUGAAAGAGUAUGUGAAUAAACAAACCUCGAGAGAAGUAUCUGACAGAACAAGUGAAGGAACAUCACAGAUCCCUUUAAAAAUUGUUGUUGCAUCAGCUCGGAAAGUUUUACAUGCAGAUAUAUUGAUAACAGCUUUGGUAAGAGAUUGCAAAUUCUCCAUUGAAUACCCUGCUACUAAACGGUCAUAGUACUCCAAGGAGGUUAGAUUUGGGGCAUUAAUCCAUAACCAACACUGGAAACUAUUAUACGAGUAACGUAUAGUCAAUGUCUUGAGCAAAUGAUGUGAAAUAUGGAAGUUCCUUAUUUUUCCCAGGUCGCAUUUCCUUGUGACCAUAUCUUCAAGAUGGGGGCAGCCGGAGAAAAGUCCUUUGACUGAAUCAUCAUUCAAAAACCCAACUGAGUGGAGAUGAAGAGUCUUUAGAUUCGGAAGAUGAACAUCCUUUGGAACAUUCAAAACAAAAUAUUUACCCAGUUUCAAACUCACCAAUGUCUUGCAAGUAAAUAUAGGCAAAGUACUUGACGGGAGAACAGAGGUGCUUAAAUCAAGAUGUUUAACUCCGCGAUCAACUGCAGCAGAUAUCUACCCGUUGAAACGAUCAGAACCAAUCAUUCUUAUCCAGCAUUUGAAACCAAAUUUAUUGACAUUUGUUGUAUUGCAAAAUAACAGCAUUUUAUCGACGGAACACAUAUAGUUCUCAAUAACAUCAGUACUGUAACUUUUAAUAUUCUUGCGGCACAAAUCCUCCUCCAAAUCGAAGUCGAUAUUAGGAAGUAAAUCAAAAAGAUAUCUCCAUCUGGUAGAUAAAACGGAGGUUUUAAUGGCUUCUUUUGUAGAAAGGAAGGACAGAAUAUGAAUUAAAAUUGAAUCAUGUAAAUCACUAAUCCUGUCUAUCUCCUCCAUUUUCACUUGCUCAGCCAUUCUAAAGCCCGAAGAAGUUGAAGAUGAAAAAGGAAUAAGCCCGUCUACAAGAAUGAAGACGGCAGCAAGAGAGAGAAGAUGAUGCCUAAUAUUAGGGUUUUUCUUUUAUAUUGACUAUUUCGAUUGGGGAACCACACUUCCUAUUUAUAGAUUUUAGGGGGAAAAAAACCACAUAAUUUCCUUGAUAUAUUAAAUAAAAAGAUAACUAUGUUUUAAUAUUAUUUAUGUUGCAUUUACUAUUUUUUUUUCUCUAAUAAUAAAAAAAUAAAAAAUUAGUAUUUUAAAAUUAAAAUGUAAAAUAUUAAUUAUUUGGGUAAACUAUUCAUAUAGUCGCUUAAGUCUUAAUAAAUUUUGAAUUUUUUAUAUAAUUUUACAAUAUUUUAUGUUUUUGUGAAUUUUUAAGAAUUAAGAUUAAAUUGAUAGAAUGUAUAAAAGUUAAAUGUUAGAUUUAUUGAACUUAUUAAGAUUAAAUUGAUAGAAUGUAUAAAAGUUAAAUGUUAGAUUUAUUGAACUUACUUUAAAAUCAAGAUUAAAUUAACAAAAUGUAUAAACAUUAAGUGCUAAAUCUGUUAUUAUACCAGAAUUUGGCCUAGUGACCAUUGACCAACUGUAUUUUAACAGUAGAGUGAUUACAAAUUGCAAUUUAAUCUAAUAGGAGUGACCAAAACAAAAAUACCUUAAAACUUGAGUGUUGGUCUGAAUAAUUUACUCUAAUUAUUUUUAAUAAUUUUGUUACAUCUCCGGAAAGUGUUAGGCUAUUAAUCUUUCCUUAUGAUGAUUAAGCUUUGAUAAUUAAUCUUAAUAUGGUGAAUAGGAAGAAUAAUGAUUCUUUAAAAAUUUAGAUUUAAAGAUAAUUAUUUGAACGCAUGCUAGUCCCUAAAAGCAAGUGAUGGUUUUCGAUUUGUGCGGUGAGUUUAAAAUAAAGUGUGUAUUUUUUUAUAAAAAGAAAUUAAAGGAUAUAUUUUGAGGGUCAUAUCCCAUGCUAAUAUUUGGGGGUGUGUUAUGAUUUUGUUUAAUUCAAAUUCAUUAUCUAAUUAUCAAAACUAUCAUCAUUUAAAAAUAUUUAUAAUUUUUUUUAAUAUUUUAUGAAAAAAAUUCAUUCUAAUUAAAUUAAAAAUUGAAUUUUGACUCGAUUAGUAUGGGUAUUGUUAUCAAUGUAGAAAAACGUGAAUUCAAGUGUGCUGAAGCACGUUAUCCUCCUAUUUAUGAGUUGAUGAGAGGCUAUAAAUAAUUCUAUACAUUGCGUUAAAAAGAACAAAUAUGAUAACAAUAUCCACAACUUUAGGAUGGUUGGUGACUCUACUAACAACAGCGACAGUUCCAAGUUAUGAAAUAGGAGCUGCUUCAAAGUUCGAGGGACGAUUUGUGAAAUGAGGCUGAACAAUUUGCAUAACGACGGGGUUGGCGUUGGUGGCAUAUGAUUGAACUCGUUAGAGUUUUCUUAUAGCUCUCAAUACCAUAAAGGUGGAUAGAAAUGUUGGAGAAUAAAUGAUUUCUUUUUAUGAUUAAGAUAUCUUAGAUGAAAAUUAAUUCAUUCAAAGUUAAUUGGUAGCAAUUUCUUCUUAUGAUUAAGGUUCAAUUAUGAGUUUACUCUUUAGGAGACUAGUAUAUUUUAUCUAGACUUAAUUAUUCAAUGUAAAAUUUUAAGUCUGACCACUAAAAAAUGAACUUAAAAUUUUCUCCAAGUCUACUAGAAAAAUUGCUAAAUCCAAACCCGGCUUGACCCAAUUCGCUCAUAUUAAACUUUUUUAUAUUAUUUUUUACAUAAAAAUAAAAUUAAAAAAUAUAAUAGAGUAAAUACACUAAAAACAUUAAAAUAAAUAUUUCCUAACAAAUUAAAAAUACAUUAAACAAAGUUUUCAAUAACAACAAAAUAAUAGUAAUAUAAUAGCAAAAUGGUAGCAAAACAAUAUCAAAAUAGCAGUAAACAACAAUGAAAAAAUUAGGCAAAUUCUGGUCUAGUUAAACUGAGCUCGAGCAAAAAAAAAUGCUACCGAGGUCCAACCCGUUUUGCCUAAAUCUAUUUUUAUCAAAAUUUUCUCACUUUUCAAAUAGACCUUCGAACCAAAAUAAGUUGGUCCGUAUAUGGUAUAACGUCAUCAUACACUUAUUGAUACGAAUAAUUUAUUAUUCCCGUAAUUUGUUGUAUGUAUAAUAUGUCGUAAAAUAUUGGAGAAUCAAUCCAAGAUGAUAAGAGAAAAAUAAAAAAGAUAUACACUUGCUGCAAACAAGGGGCUGACUUAAGCUAUGCAUUGAUAUUUAUUGCUCUUAUUAGUUAAGCAACGACACUACUUCCAUUCUUCUAGCUAGUCUUGAGGCAUCAUUUGACUAUUACUUCAUUUCUACUAAGAGACUUUAGUCAUACAUUCGACUCUUCAUUUUUCUUAUUAUUUUUACGGAUAAUAUCAUAUUUGAUAUUUAUAUUAUAUUUUAAAAAUGUUUAUUAUAGUGCCUAAAUUAUUAAUAUAUGUUUUGUUAUAGAAUUUAUACUUUCAUAAAAUGUUCAAUGAGAUAUUUGUAUUUUGAAAAAAGUACAAUGUGUAUCUAAACAAUCAAUACGUGUUUUAUUAUGGUACUUAGUGUUAACACCGUUAAUAAAUUAUUAAAUCUGUCAAUAAAAAUUCAACAUAUAUAUUUUUUUUUUCAAAUUAUCAAAUCUGCAUAAAUUCUAAAAUUAUAUGAAAGUACAAUUACUAAACUAAACAUAUGGUCAAUUGAUUUUUAAAAAAUAAAUUUUUUAUCAUCCAUGAAAGUUAGUAUUUACUUCUUUUUUAUUAGUCAUAUUUUUUUAAAUUUAAUUUAAUUUUUUAUUUGAUUAGUUUUUCACAUAAUGUUAUAUUAUUUAUGUAGACUUAAUAAUUUAGAAAAAAAAAUUGUGUUGAACCUUCAUUGAUUGGUCUAACAAUUCUGUUGACAUCAAGUACCACAAUAAAACAUUUAUUGAUGUUGAUAGCUCAAGUACCACAUUGUACAUUUUCAAAGUACAUGUAUCACAUUAGACCUUUUCAAUAAAACAGAAAGAUGAAUGAGAGAAAGGAUUAGGGUUGUAGGGAAACGAAGGAGGCAAUGGAAUAAUGGGAAAAAAUUUUAAGUAUUUUUUCGUUUUUCUUUUAAAUUUUUAGAAUUAGAACUAAAUUAACAUAUUUUGUAAAUGUUGAAACUUAAAUUUAUUGAAUUUAUAGAAUUCAAACUAAAAUAAUAAAUUUUGUAAAUAUUAAAGACUAAAUUUGUUGAAUUUUUUUAUUAAAAUAAAUUGAUAGAAUGUAUAAAUAUUGCAUCAGUAAAUUUAUUAUUAGGCCCAUAGAAAAAUUCCACAUCAACUAUCCAUAAUAUGUUUAAUUGAUUAAAUCGAAAAAUAUUAAAAGUAUAGUUGAAUGACUAUUUUUAUAAUUUAUCCUAAAGUAAAUUAUCACAUUAUUAUAUUUAAUGCUUAAAAUUUUGCACAACUUAAUAUAAUUGUAAUUAAUAAUUAUAAAUUAUUUAUAAUUAUUAUAUAUAUUUAAAAAUUUUAGUAAUAUAAUAAAAAAUAUUCUUGCCAAUUCAAAAGCUUUUUCAAACUCUUACAUUUAAAUAUUUAUAUAUACGAAAUAACUUACAUUAAGAUGAUCAUAAAAACUAAUGCUUUUAGGCACCAAUACAAUUUUGCCACACCAUUAUAUUUUAAAGACAUAAAAUUAUUAUUAUAUAUUCAUUCAUAAAGAAAUUAUUUUAUGGACCCUGUCCACCACAUUAAUCAUAGUCACUUUCCAAUUAUUUAAUAACAUUUCAACAAUUUUUUCCACGUACAUAAAAUUUUGGUAUUAUUUUACCCUAAACCCUGAAUCUAGAAUCUCGAACACUAAACCCAAAAUAUAGAACCCCAAACUUGAACAUUUAACUCGUAACCCUAAACUCUUAAACUAUGAAUUCCAAACUCGUAACUCGUAACUCCGACCCAUAAACCUUGAACCCAAACCCUUGAAGCCCAAACCUGAACCUUGAACCCCGAACUCUCAACCUUAAAUCUCGAACCCAAACCUUGAACCACAAGUUUGGGGUUCGAGGUUCGAGGUUCAAAGUAAAAUAAUUACCAAAAUUAUAUAUCAAUGACAUGGAAAAAAAUUGGAUAAAAAUUACUAUUUUUUAAAAUUGGUUGCACAAAAAUAAAAAAAAAUAUUAACUUAUAAAAAAUCAAAAUAAUUAAAAUUAUAAAAGAAGAAAAGAUGUUUGUUUAUAAUUUAAAAAGUUAAUUAUUUUAAGUAAUUUAAUUAAAGUUAAAUUAAGUUAGAGAAGAUAUUAUAUAUAAAUUAAUGUAUAAUAAUAUUUUGUUAUCUUUAAAAUUUAAUGACAUGACACUAUUUUUUUGGUGCCUAAAAAUUGUGCCUUUUAGAAUGAUUCUAAUAUAAUUUAUUCCCUUAUAGUAAUUUCAUAUCUUUAAAAUUUGAUGAUGUAGCAAAUUUUUAUUGGUGCAUAAUAUAAGUUAUUCCCUUAAAUUAAAUUGUAGGUUCUAAUAUCAAAAGAAAAUAUGUUUUUCAUUAUUAUCAAGGGAAAAUGUUAUUAGUUCUCAAUUGGAGUUUUAGAAUGUGAAGAUGUAUUGGUAUUAGUUCACUAUUUUUGUCUAUAAAAAUAUUCUAACUAAUCCAUAUCUGUAGUGCCUUUGGACGAUGAAUCAAGUGGCUUUGUUGAUUGUAAAAAGAAUAGGUAGAGGGAUAAAUCCAUGCCAGAGGUGGAGAGAAUGAAAGAGAAUAUGAUACUUAUUCAAUGAAUAAGCUUCAGGAAUUUUAAAUGUCUAACGUAACAAUGAAGAAAAUGGAGCAUGUAAUUGAGUGUGAACACACAUGCAUCGAUAGAGAGAAAACAUUGAGCAUCCCUGUGGAGGCAACUAACAAGAAAUAAAGGUCAACAAAGAUGAAAUGGAGCUUAAAUACACCAAUAUUGGACUUCGAUAACUCACGAGUUUCUUUAAUUAAUGUAAGCCAAAUCCUUUGAGGGUCUCAAUUCGACUAAUGGGGUCAUUACUGAACUUUAGAGAAUGAAAAUAGAUAUAAUAACUCUUAAAUUAAUGAAGUGGAUGUAAUAGCCAAUUUUGGCCUAAAGCUCAAAUCAAUAAAACAAAUAAUAAAACAGUCCAAAAUGAAUGUCCAUUUACAUAUUAUACCCAAGCCCAACAAGCCCGAAAGUCUAGAAACCCCAAAGCCCAACUAGCCCAACUACACAAAACAUUUCAGCAAACCUUAACCCCUCCAAGCUUCAGCCGCCGCAUGCCCCCUUCAACCUUGGCCGCCGCACGCCUCCUCGCACACGUCUGGCCGCUCACGUCACCUGCAAAACGAGACUAACAUACAAGCAAAAGAAAACAACGAACAAGAAGACAAAAAACAAUAGCAAACAACAAAGAAAAACAAUGAAGAAACAGACAAAGAAUAGAAACAAAACGAGUGUGUAUUCGGCUAUAAAGGCCAUAUUCGAUCCCUUUGUAAUUUUUUACGUACAUUAAAGAAUCAAAAAAGCAGAAUAGAAGCUUAAAGAAAGGUUGAUUUUGAUUUUCUUUUCUUUUUUUUGUGUUUUCUUGUUUCUUCUUUUUAUUAUUAUUAUUAUUACAAAUCUAUUUUCAAGUAAAAAGAAUAAAUAAAAAAGGAGAAGAGAAAAUUUACCCGAAUCCGAUCUUGGCAUGGCUCCGACCACCGUCUACGGUGGAGCCUCGGAGCCAAGGCGGUUCGGCGAUGGUGCGAUGAUGGGUUUCAAAACCCUAGCAGAGGAGAAAAAAGAAAAAGGAGGUUCAGAUUUUUU